GACGAACGCUGGCGGCGUGCUUAACACAUGCAAGUCGAACGGAAAGGCCCUGCUUUUGUGGGGUGCUCGAGUGGCGAACGGGUGAGUAACACGUGAGUAACCUGCCCUUGACUUUGGGAUAACUUCAGGAAACUGGGGCUAAUACCGGAUAGGAGCUCCUGCUGCAUGGUGGGGGUUGGAAAGUUUCGGCGGUUGGGGAUGGACUCGCGGCUUAUCAGCUUGUUGGUGGGGUAGUGGCUUACCAAGGCUUUGACGGGUAGCCGGCCUGAGAGGGUGACCGGCCACAUUGGGACUGAGAUACGGCCCAGACUCCUACGGGAGGCAGCAGUGGGGAAUAUUGCACAAUGGGCGGAAGCCUGAUGCAGCAACGCCGCGUGCGGGAUGACGGCCUUCGGGUUGUAAACCGCUUUCGCCUGUGACGAAGCGUGAGUGACGGUAAUGGGUAAAGAAGCACCGGCUAACUACGUGCCAGCAGCCGCGGUGAUACGUAGGGUGCGAGCGUUGUCCGGAUUUAUUGGGCGUAAAGGGCUCGUAGGUGGUUGAUCGCGUCGGAAGUGUAAUCUUGGGGCUUAACCCUGAGCGUGCUUUCGAUACGGGUUGACUUGAGGAAGGUAGGGGAGAAUGGAAUUCCUGGUGGAGCGGUGGAAUGCGCAGAUAUCAGGAGGAACACCAGUGGCGAAGGCGGUUCUCUGGGCCUUUCCUGACGCUGAGGAGCGAAAGCGUGGGGAGCGAACAGGCUUAGAUACCCUGGUAGUCCACGCUGUAAACGGUGGGUACUAGGUGUGGGGUCCGUUCCACGGGUUCCGUGCCGUAGCUAACGCUUUAAGUACCCCGCCUGGGGAGUACGGCCGCAAGGCUAAAACUCAAAGGAAUUGACGGGGCCCCGCACAAGCGGCGGAGCAUGCGGAUUAAUUCGAUGCAACGCGUAGAACCUUACCUGGGUUUGACAUGGAUCGGGAGCGCUCAGAGAUGGGUGUGCCUCUUUUGGGGUCGGUUCACAGGUGGUGCAUGGCUGUCGUCAGCUCGUGUCGUGAGAUGUUGGGUUAAGUCCCGCAACGAGCGCAACCCUUGUUCACUGUUGCCAGCACGUUAUGGUGGGGACUCAGUGGAGACCGCCGGGGUCAACUCGGAGGAAGGUGGGGAUGACGUCAAGUCAUCAUGCCCCUUAUGUCCAGGGCUUCACGCAUGCUACAAUGGCUGGUACAGAGAGUGGCGAGCCUGUGAGGGUGAGCGAAUCUCGGAAAGCCGGUCUCAGGUCGGAUUGGGGUCUGCAACUCGACCUCAUGAAGUCGGAGUCGCCAGUAAUCGCAGAUCAGCAACGCUGCGGUGAAUACGUUCCCGGGGCU
rnacentral:rRNA from 1 species